rnacentral:lncRNA from 10 species
GAAACAGUGGGCUGGUAGAGAAGGAGACACAUUUGUGCAAUAUUUAGGAAGCAAAAUUGUAGAGCAGGAAUGGAUCUGAAGUCAAUGAAAAACUCUUCAUAGCUCUAGUUGUUGGGCUUCCCCAGAAGAUGACAUUGAAAGGAAGGUUUGGAUGCAAGUUGUUCAUUUAGGAGGAGAUCUCAGGAAGCACAAAGUAUUUCCUUGAGUCAGGACCUCCAAGUCCUCCCCUAACUGUGCAGCAGGUCCAUAAAUUCAUCAGCUUCCCAGGCUGCUUCCACCUUUGCUACAUGUGGCCUCAUCCUUACAGCCCAAGAUGGCUCCUAGGGCUCUAGCCAUCACAUGCUGGUACCAGAGAGCAAGAUGACUGAAGGGGAGGAAAGAGAGCAUGUGCUUGUCUCGUGAAGAGAUUUCCUGGAAGUUACACAAAACAUUUCUGUUUUCAGCUUGUUGACUAGAACAUAGUCGUCUGUCAUACUUAGUGUGGAGGGUGACCAAAGAGGGAGUGUUUUGUCUGAAUAGCAUUGCAUCCAGCCAGAUAGCGAGGGCAAGUAGCUGGAGGGAAGAGGAAGACAGACAUUGUAGAGGAAGCUAGCAGUGACUCCCCCCCAGAUUAUAUCCUAUUAAUAAAAGUAAGAACCUAAUUUAUGCCAUGUGCCUGGGCCUCACAGGGCCAUCACACCUCCAUGAAACAAAGUGCUUGGCCUCACUCUGGUUUGCUUUUGUCAUCUCUGAAACAAGGAGGUUUUACUUCCCCAUGUUUCCCAAAUGUCCAUCAUUCAAAUAAUGCUUCUGCUGUGUAGCCAUGUCUACAGCUGUGGUCAAUGCUCCUCAUCAAGGCCGCUGUCUGUGUACCACUCGUGAUUUAAUCAGUCCGUUUUCUUCCAGGGGACUCUCCCUUUAAGCUUCUCUCUCUCUCUCUCUCUCUCUGUCUAUAUAUAUAUAUAUAUAUACAUAUAUAUAUAUACACACAUAUGCACAUAUAUAUAUCUACACACACACAUAUGUAACAUAUAUUUAGAAGCUUAAAUAUGUAUUAUAUAUUCACUCUCUCUAUAUAUAGAGAGAAAUUUAUAUAUAUAUAUGUAUGUAUUCCUCUAACACUCCUGCACCACACACUGAUCUUCCUAUUCAACAAAUACGAAGGAGGCUGCAGGCACUGAACCUUGAUCAGGUCACUACAUCUGACCUGACAUUAGGAUACUUUUAUUUAAGUUUCUAAAUGUAUAAGUUACAUACAUUUAUAUAUAUACACAUAUAUAGAGAUUUAGAUAUUGAAAAAAUACAUAUUUAUAUAUUGAAAAAAUCUAUAUAUAGACAGAGAGAUUUAUAUGUUGAAAAACCCAAGUAAAAUAAAAAUAAGAAAGUAUCCUUAACAUCAGGUGAGAUGUAGUGACCUGAUCAAGGUUCAGAGCCUGAAGCCUCAUUCCUGUUUGUUGAAGAGGAAGAUCAGUGUGUGGUGUGGGGGUGUUAGAGAAAUAGCGUCAGCAAACUGGAACUCUCUUCUUGCCCUAAUAAGCAGGACUGAAAGUGUUCUCCCUAUGUAAUUUACUUUCUUUUAAACUUAAAAUGAAG